GUGGUAUCAACUUGCGUCGUUCUUUGAUGGAUGUGAUUUCAACUAUAUAGUGUUUUUAUUAGUAUUAUAUCAUCUUUAAUCGAGCAUUAUCAGAUGGACAUUAGAGAUGCAUAGACGAAGACAGUUAAUGGUGACAAUUCGAUGACAUUUCAUGCAAAACGAUUUGCAAACGUUGGAUUUACCUUAACGAAAAUGGAGGUACAUGUUGUUCGCAGUUUCCACUUCCUUAUGCUUCCCAGAAGAAAUCUGAGGAUGUUUAAAAAACCAAAAAUACUUUUCACAACUUCCCAUUUUCCUGUAUGAGGUUUGCUGGUUCCUUCUCGAUGAUUGUUUUGGUGAUGACUUCCUCUGAAUUGCUGCAUCAUCGAUGGCAACGUCUCCGCAUCUUAUCGUGAGUCGCAUGUUUUUGUAUUCCUUUGGUCAUCCAAUCAUAAUCGUAGAACAAAAGGUUUGAAUCGAUACGGACGACUAGUUGUAUUACGUAAAACUUUUUUCGAGCACAGUGACCGCGGAUAUUUAUCAUAUUCCUGAGUAGUGACAUUAUCUUUAUGCCUUAUUUAUUAGUUCAGGACAGGUCUUCUUGCACACCUCGUUUUUUUAUGUUAAUGACGUGACAUUGAGGAUUAAAACUUUAAUAUAAUGUUGAUCAUUAGGAUGAGUGAUUUAUUUUUUAUUUUAUUUUUAUAAGAUACUUCUUCUGCUGCGAUUAGACAGACUCGAGCUUAAAUGUAAGUUUCAGCGGACAGAACAAUUGCCACAGAAGAGGGCAACUACUAAUGGCUUUCCAUCCCCUGGAUCCUCCAGAACAUGGAAAGUCAUUUUCGGUAUUACUUUGUCACUAUGCUUGUUUUUGGUAGUUGUGGUAGUAGUCUUUUUUGGCCGAUGUCGGUCCACCAUCAUAUUGGCUAAAUCGCUGAUUGUUAUCAGUGUCGCGAAGUAGUACUUACAGGUUGAGUCACAGUUUCGAAGUAAUUUAAAUUAAAAUUGAAUUUAGAAAAAUGUCAACUUUUGAUUAACUUUACAUCGUUGCUAUUUCUGACCAUCUAG